CAGUACUCUGCUUCCCAGCUCUCACUAGACACGCUGAAGGAGCUGUGGCUGAGGGGGCCAGUGACUCGUUCAGGUGCGCCAGGAAGAGCGUGAGCAGAUCAAGACCCUCAACAACAAAUUCGCCUCCUUCAUCGACAAGGUGCGCUUCCUGGAACAGCAGAACAAGAUGCUGGAGACCAAGUGGGCGCUGCUGCAGGAUCAGAAGUCAGCCAAGAGCAGCCAGCUUCCCCGCAUCUUCGAGGCCCAGAUUGCUGGUCUGCGGCAGCAGCUUGAGGCACUGCAGCUGGAUGGGGGCCGCCUGGAGGUGGAGCUGCGGAGCAUGCAGGAUGUGGUGGAAGAUUUCAAGAACAAGUAUGAGGAGGAGAUCAACCGACGCACAGCUGCCGAGAACGAGUUUGUGCUGCUGAAGAAGGACGUGGAUGCUGCCUACACAAACAAGGUGGAGCUGGAGGCCAAGGCAGACAGUCUGCAGGACAAGAUCAACUUUCUCAAGACCCUUCAUGAGACAGAGUUAGCAGAGCUGCAGUCACAGAUCUCAGACACAUGCGUGGUGCUGUCCAUGGAUAACAGCCGCUCCCUGGACUUGGAUGGCAUCAUCGCUGACGUCAAAGCCCAGUACGAGGAGAUGGCCAACCAUAGCCAGGCAGAGGCUGAAGCCUGGUACCAGACCAAGUUCGAGACACUCCAGGCCCAGGCUGGGAAGCACGGGGAUGACCUCCGCAACACCCGGAAUGAGAUUGCGGAGAUGAACCGCUCCAUCCAGAAGCUGCAGGCAGAGAUUGACACCGUGAAGAACCAGGUGGGAACCCACCCUCCUGCUGCCUUGUCCCAUCCUGCUUCGAGGGGGAGGCAGCUAGUCAGGUCAGGGGCAGAGUGAGUCUGGGAGGCCUGGGCCCAGGUGGGUGCAACUCACACCUCAGGUCCUAAGUGAGACCUACGGGUGAGGUGAUUUUUGGCCUGAACCUGGCUCAGGGCUGAAGAUGAACCGCUAGGACACAGAGCACUCUG
rnacentral:lncRNA from 1 species